rnacentral:lncRNA from 1 species
GCAUAUAUUAUAGUCCGAGACAACAAAUAAUCUGGUAAACAAUGUCCAAAGUAGGGGACGGGUCUACAAUAUUGACCAUGUCCAUAACAUGCAUUGGCAUCUGAUUUUUGUCACAAAAAGAUCAGCAUCUAACCUUGGUUACAUCUUUUUGAUCUUACAAACACAAUUUCGGAUUUUAUCAGAAAAAAAUAUAAAAUCUAAUAACUUUAAAGCAAAAUUUAAUCAAAUAAUUCACA